rnacentral:rRNA from 1 species
AUUGAACGCUGGCGGCAGGCCUAACACAUGCAAGUCGAGCGGUAACAGGAAGGAGCUUGCUUCUUUGCUGACGAGUGGCGGACGGGUGAGUAAUGUCUGGGAAACUGCCUGAUGGAGGGGGAUAACUACUGGAAACGGUAGCUAAUACCGCAUAACGUCGCAAGACCAAAGAGGGGGACCUUCGGGCCUCUUGCCAUCGGAUGUGCCCAGAUGGGAUUAGCUAGUAGGUGGGGUAACGGCUCACCUAGGCGACGAUCCCUAGCUGGUCUGAGAGGAUGACCAGCCACACUGGAACUGAGACACGGUCCAGACUCCUACGGGAGGCAGCAGUGGGGAAUAUUGCACAAUGGGCGCAAGCCUGAUGCAGCCAUGCCGCGUGUAUGAAGAAGGCCUUCGGGUUGUAAAGUACUUUCAGCGGGGAGGAAGGGAGUAAAGUUAAUACCUUUGCUCAUUGACGUUACCCGCAGAAGAAGCACCGGCUAACUCCGUG